rnacentral:rRNA from 1 species
CCUACGGGUGGCAGCAGUGAGGAAUAUUUGUCAAUGGACGAGAGUCUGAACCAGCCAAGUAGCGUGAAGGAUGACUGCCCUAUGGGUUGUAAACUUCUUUUAUAUGGGAAUAAAACGUUCCACGUGUGGGAUUUUGUAUGUACCAUAUGAAUAAGGAUCGGCUAACUCCGUGCCAGCAGCCGCGGUAAUACGGAGGAUCCGAGCGUUAUCCGGAUUUAUUGGGUUUAAAGGGAGCGUAGGUGGAUUGUAAAGUCAGUUGUGAAAGUUUGCGGCUCAACCGUAAAAUUGCAGUUGAAACUGGCAGUCUUGAGUACAGUAGAGGUGGGCGGAAUUCGUGGUGUAGCGGUGAAAUGCUUAGAUAUCACGAAGAACUCCGAUUGCGAAGGCAGUUCACUGGACUGCAACUGACACUGAGGCUCGAAAGUGUGGGUAUCAAACAGGAUUAGAUACCCCUGUAGUC